rnacentral:lncRNA from 1 species
GUAGUACAAUAUGCCAAAUUGGCAAUCCCUUCAUUAAUCUUGUCCACACAGUAAUUCAAAGAAGCCCUGCCCUCUGUACGAGGUUGUAUUAAUUGGAUUCUGUCCAAGAAAACGUCAUAAACCUUUUGAUCCAAAUGUUACAAAGUAUGAAUUCCAGAUUGGGAAACCAUAUAAAUAUUUUUAAUAAAUUCAUAUACUUUUUUAAAGAAAUGUUCUAUUCACAAAAAUAUUAAAUGAUAGUGAUCAGCCAUUCAUUUUCAUCAGCUUCCCCCUGGUUAUGACCCCCUGCAGGGAACCACCUAGGGUGCAGGUAUAAUUUUGUGAUGAAUGAUAAAAAAUUGCCCAAUGUAAUUAUGCCAAGCCAUAGAAAUAUUUUUAUUACCAUGGUCAUGACAACUACCCUGUCAGUUUGAUUGCAAUAUCAAAACUUGUUAUUUACACUAUAAAACAACACAUACCUACUCUGAGAAGGGGUAACAAAAACUCAGUUUUUUCCAUUCCUAUCCAAUUCAAAUCAUGCUGGCCACGAAAACAAUUUCCUGAUUGCCGAUACAAUAAAUUGCCAAAUGCCUGACAAUUUGGGCUAGCGACUCCCCUGAAUGCUACAAUGAUAGCAACCU